UACGAAGGGGGCUAGCGUUGCUCGGAAUUACUGGGCGUAAAGGGCGCGUAGGCGGAUGUCUAAGUUGGGGGUGAAAUCCCGGGGCUCAACCUCGGAACAGCCUUCAAUACUGGAUAUCUUGAGUUCGGGAGAGGUGAGUGGAAUGCCGAGUGUAGAGGUGAAAUUCGUAGAUAUUCGCAAGAACACCAGUGGCGAAGGCGGCUCACUGGCCCGGUACUGACGCUGAGGUGCGAAAGCGUGGGGAGCAAACAGG
rnacentral:rRNA from 1 species